rnacentral:rRNA from 1 species
UACAGAGGGGGCAAGCGUUGUUCGGAAUUACUGGGCGUAAAGGGCGCGUAGGCGGCCUGCUAAGUCGAACGUGAAAUCCCCAGGCUCAACCUGGGAACUGCGUCCGAUACUGACAGGCUUGAAUCCGGGAGAGGGAUGUGGAAUUCCAGGUGUAGCGGUGAAAUGCGUAGAUAUCUGGAGGAAUACCGGUGGCGAAGGCGGCAUCCUGGACCAUUACUGACGCUGAGGCGCGAAAGCUAGGGGAGCAAACGGG